rnacentral:rRNA from 1 species
AUUGAACGCUGGCGGCAUGCUUUACACAUGCAAGUCGAACGGCAGCGCGGACUUCGGUCUGGCGGCGAGUGGCGAACGGGUGAGUAAUACAUCGGAACGUGCCCAGUAAUGGGGGAUAACUAUCCGAAAGGAUAGCUAAUACCGCAUACGCCCUGAGGGGGAAAGUGGGGGACCGCAAGGCCUCACGUUAUUGGAGCGGCCGAUGGCGGAUUAGCUGGUUGGUGAGGUAAAGGCUCACCAAGGCGACGAUCAGUAGCGGGUCUUAGAGGACGAUCCGCCAGACUGGAUCUGAGACACGGUCCAGACUCCUACGGGAGGCAGCAGUGGGGAAUCUUGGACAAUGGGCGCAAGCCUGAUCCAGCAAUGCCGCGUGGGUGAAGAAGGCCUUCGGGUUGUAAAGCCCUUUUAAGCAAGAAGAAUAAACUUUACAGGGAAUGGUAGAGUGGUGACGGUAUUGCUUGAAUAAGCAACGGCUAAUUACGUGCCAGCAGCCGCCGUAAAAC